AACGACUCUCGGCAAGGAUAUCUAGGCUCUCACAUCGAUGAAGAACGUAGUGAAAUGCAAUACUUGGUGGAAUUGCAGAAUCCCGCGAAUCAUCAAGUUUUGAACGCAAGUUGCGCCCGAAGCCAUUCGGCCGAGGGCACGUUUGCUGGGUGUCACGCAUC
rnacentral:rRNA from 1 species